GUGGCGAAGGCGGCCCCCUGGACGAAGACUGACGCUCAGGUGCGAAAGCGUGGGGAGCAAACAGGAUUAGAUACCCUGGUAGUCCACGCCGUAAACGAUGUCGACUUGGAGGUUGUGCCCUUGAGGCGUGGCUUCCGGAGCUAACGCGUUAAGUCGACCGCCUGGGGAGUACGGCCGCAAGGUUAAAACUCAAAUGAAUUGACGGGGGCCCGCACAAGCGGUGGAGCAUGUGGUUUAAUUCGAUGCAACGCGAAGAACC
rnacentral:rRNA from 1 species